rnacentral:rRNA from 1 species
CCUACGGGAGGCAGCAGUGGGGAAUCUUGCGCAAUGGGCGAAAGCCUGACGCAGCCAUGCCGCGUGAAUGAUGAAGGUCUUAGGAUUGUAAAAUUCUUUCACCGGGGACGAUAAUGACGGUACCCGGAGAAGAAGCCCCGGCUAACUUCGUGCCAGCAGCCGCGGUAAUACGAAGGGGGCUAGCGUUGCUCGGAAUUACUGGGCGUAAAGGGAGCGUAGGCGGAUAGUUUAGUCAGAGGUGAAAGCCCAGGGCUCAACCUUGGAAUUGCCUUUGAUACUGGCUAUCUUGAGUGUGGGAGAGGUAUGUGGAACUCCGAGUGUAGAGGUGAAAUUCGUAGAUAUUCGGAAGAACACCAGUGGCGAAGGCGACAUACUGGCCCAUUACUGACGCUGAGGCUCGAAAGCGUGGGGAGCAAACAGGAUUAGAUACCCUGGUAGUCCACGCUGUAAACGAUGAGUGCUAGUUGUCGGCAGGCAUGCCUGUCGGUGACGCAGCUAACGCAUUAAGCACUCCGCCUGGGGAGUACGGUCGCAAGAUUAAAACUCAAAUGAAUUGACGG